AUAUGGGCUUCGGUGAUUCGGCGCAGUGUUCAUCGAACAGGCCCUGUGAUCUGAUGGUGUAUUGUGGAUCUUGUUCUAAGAAUCAAAAAAUCUGGGUUUAUUUGAUUAAAAGGGCAGCUUGUGAAAAAAAUUGCACUCCUUCAACUCCAAAACUAUGUCGACUUCAUCAAUGCUUCCUUUGCAAAAAUGUUGCUUCUGUAUAUCGCUGAGAAAAGGAUGUUUUAUUAUGGCAUAUAUGAAACUGAUUGGGAUCAUUAUCGUCACCAUAACAUCUGGGGUUAAUAUAGGUACUGAAAUCACUAAAUUAAAUCAAAAAUAUCAAUAUAUAAGUUUUUUGUGGAUUGCAGUCAUCUCUAUAUUUUUCUUCGCCGUAUUUUUGACCCUUUUAUUCAAUAUAAUUCUUCUCGUUGGAUUACAUAAGAAUAAACCUGGUUACGUAAAAGCUUAUAUUAUUUAUUAUACAAUACUUAUUUUUAUUUUCGUGGGUAUUGUAGUCAGGUCAAUUAACAAAGCAAAUACUGAAUUGUCAGAUAUUUUUUUAAGAAUUAUACAAUUAUUUGUAUCCAUCUAUUUCAUCCUCGUCUACUCAAGUUACUACAUCAGUAUGAAAAAGACGUCUGAACAAACCGUUUAAUGCAUGAAAUAUUUUCAUAAUAUCACUGGAACAAGGUUUUACUCGGCUUCUAGUAGGACAGGCAGAAAUGAACUGGCAGAAAUUGUAACGUAAGGAAAAAGCUUUAUGCCCCCUCCAGGUGACCUUUCCUCUUUCUCUAUUUCUUUUAUAUAAAAUUAUUUAAUAUUAUUUUUUGGUAUUGUUUUAAUUCAUAUGAUUUUUUUAAGAAUAAUUUGAUUUCUUGUCUUUAAAUUAUUCUCAACCAAGUGUCCCUCUUCCUUUUAGUAAAUUCCAAUGGCAGGAGAAGUAAUUUAAACGAAUCUUAAAUUUAUAUAUUACAUGUGAUUUGCUAAUAGAUCCGCUAUAUUAUGCAUUACAAAAAUAUUGUGAUGAAUAUACAUAUUAUACUAUUAUACUGAAAUACUUAUAUCCACGGACAUUCAAAACCCCCCUUUUCACAAAUCUAUUUUGACUACUUUAUGUAUCUCGAGCAGUGAUGUCACAUCAAUUCAAGGUCAAUUUUUUUAUUUAUCUUUACCCGUCCUUCCAUUGAAAUCGACUGUAUGUACUAGGGAUAUAAUUAAAUUCUUAUUACAAUAACUAGCUAUGUAAUAUUAUUUAUGAUUAUGCAAUUAUGUAUCAUUUUCCUUAUACGUUACAUAUUAUUACAUAUUAUUUAGUUAUUUAUUUUAAAGCUAAC